CAUUACUAUGGCUCAACCCUAUAAUCGUCAGUAUGCAGUUAUUUGGUUCGUCGAAGAAGAUAGAGCACAAGGUGAAAAAGAAAUCGAUGUGAUGCCAGGAUCGUGGAUCAUGAAAACUAUUGGAGAUCGGUAUUUGUGCAAAUAUCCACCACAAAAAUUGUACAAACGAAUGUUACAGUUGAGGGAAGAAGCAGCUGACCCUACGUGGGAGACAUUUAUAGUAAAAAUUUUGGCUGGUGCUGAUACGCUUGAGCAAGCUAACAGACAUGCUGAUCGUGCAUGCAGGGAGAUCCAUUGUGCUAGCACAAACACAGAAAUGAUGAAAACUAAAAAACCACCAGUUCUAGCUAAAGACAAAGUUGAUGAAGUUCUGAGAAAUACAAUUUCGAUACGGACGAACGUUGUGACGAAAGUAACUGCCAAAGCAGAGUUGAGUUGUUGAGUCUCCAAGAGUUCAAGGAGGAGCCAAACCAAAAGAAGUUACCUUGUCUUCUCUAUCCUCGACACCUAAACGAGAGAACAAUCGAGUUCGUGUAACUAGUACUUCCGAUAACACCUCCUGGGAUGAUGGUACAUCUCCUCAGAGAAAUGAUAUUCAUUUUCAGAGAGACUCCACAGCCUCCAAUCGAAGUCCAGAAAUGAUUUUAGAUAGUGACGCUCUAUAUUCUUCACUGGAGUCAAAUAAAAAGAGGAAUGUACGAAGCUACUGUAGAAAUAGUGUUUCGAACAUGAGCAUUGAUUCGGAAGAAUCCGUGAGAAGAUCUGUCUCCGAAACUCCAAAGUGUUCAAAGAAAAAACAAGUUCCAACGGAAUGCAUGGACAUUGAGUAUAUGGAUAAACGAUUCAAAGGACUACGAACACAAAUCGAGUCUAUGAAACGCAGCAUUCUCUAUGACACUGAACAUAAACUUAAAGCUCUUAGUCUCAAUAUCACAGCUUGAAAGAGUGAAAAUAUACAAUAUGAUUAUAAGAAAAUUCAAGAAACACUUGGUACUACUUUCCCACUAACUACACUAGAGGGUUUUCUGGCUUUUGAAGCGGAACUUCAUCUUAUUCAGGACAAGAAGAAGGCUUUUACGCAGCUUAUGGAGUAUUUGAGUGUAAACUAUACUACCACCAAAGAAUGUAUUAUUAAAGUUCUUCCCUUUAUACUUGACAAGAACGUGCAAUCACAUUAUUCCGGCCAAGGGAUGAAGAAGGCUUCUGCAGUCAAGCGUUGUUUUAAGGAUACAGCUACAUAUGCUUGCUUUGAAGCUGCAAUGAUAAACCGAUGGGGGACAUGUCCCAAAUUAAUUUCCCACGUGGGAGUUUGGCUAGCUACAUGGCAAGAUCGUGAAGGAGGACGAAAACAACGUGUCAGAGUUGGGGAAAUACAAUCACAAUCAACAAUCAACAACAAUAACAAUCCGUAACUAACAGCAACAAACAAGAAAAAAUAAAUCUCAAUAUUAAUAUAGAGAUUCUUAAAUUCAGAGUUCUUAAUAUUUUCUC